GAUGAACGCUGGCGGCGUGCCUAAUACAUGCAAGUCGAGCGAACAGACGAGGAGCUUGCUCCUCUGACGUUAGCGGCGGACGGGUGAGUAACACGUGGAUAACCUACCUAUAAGACUGGGAUAACUUCGGGAAACCGGAGCUAAUACCGGAUAAUAUAUUGAACCGCAUGGUUCAAUAGUGAAAGACGGUUUUGCUGUCACUUAUAGAUGGAUCCGCGCCGCAUUAGCUAGUUGGUAAGGUAACGGCUUACCAAGGCAACGAUGCGUAGCCGACCUGAGAGGGUGAUCGGCCACACUGGAGCUGAGACACGGUCCAGACUCCUGCGAGAGGCAGCAGUAGGGAAUCUUCCGCAGUGGGCGAAAGCCUGACGGAGCGACGCCGCGUGAGUGAUGAAGGUCUUCGGAUCGUGAAACUCUGUUAUGAGGGAAGAACAGAUGUGUAAGGAGCUAUGCACGUCUUGACGGUACCUAAUCAGAAAGCAACGGCUAACUACGUG
rnacentral:rRNA from 1 species